AACCCAUGUUGAGGACAUUUCCGCAAGAGAUCCUUGAACUUAUACCAUGUUUCAAAAAGAAACACCAAUUCCAUUUGCACAAAAGCAGAUAUCGCAUUCUUAAGCUU